rnacentral:rRNA from 1 species
GACCAGACUCCUACGGGAGGCAGCAGUGAGGAAUAUUGGUCAAUGGUCGGGAGACUGAACCAGCCAAGCCGCGUGAGGGAGGAAGGUACAGAGUAUCGUAAACCUCUUUUGUCAGGGAACAAAGACUGGGACGCGUCCCCGGAUGAGUGUACCUGAAGAAAAAGCAUCGGCUAACUCCGUGCCAGCAGCCGCGGUAAUACGGAGGAUGCGAGCGUUAUCCGGAUUUAUUGGGUUUAAAGGGUGCGCAGGCGGUUGGAUAGGUAGGGGGGAAAGCGCGGGGCCCACCCCCCGGCCCGCCGUUGAAACUGGCAGUCUCGAGUUGGAGAGAAGUAUGCGGAAUGCGCGGUGUAGCGGUGAAAUGCAUAGAUAUCGCGCAGAACUCCGAUUGCGAAGGCAGCAUGCCGGCUCCACACUGACGCUGAGGCACGAAAGCGUGGGUAUCGAACAGGAUUAGAUACCCCAGUA